rnacentral:antisense_RNA from 1 species
UGUAGGAGCGAGCCUGCUCGCGAUGGCGUCAUCACAUUCAACAUUCAUGUUGACUGGUAGAUCGCUAUCGCGAGCAGGCUCGCUCCUACA